UACGAAGGGGGCGAGCGUUGUUCGGAAUUACUGGGCGUAAAGCGCGCGUAGGCGGCUUUGUAAGUUAGAGGUGAAAGCCCGGGGCUCAACCCCGGAACUGCCUUUAAGACUGCAUCGCUUGAAUCCGGGAGAGGUGAGUGGAAUUCUGAGUGUAGAGGUGAAAUUCGUAGAUAUUCGGAAGAACACCAGUGGCGAAGGCGGCUCACUGGACCGGCAUUGACGCUGAUGUGCGAAAGCGUGGGGAGCAAACAGG
rnacentral:rRNA from 1 species